UUCUAGUCUAAAGUAGUGCACUAUAUAUAGGGAAUAGGGCUCUGGUCUAAAGUAGUGCACUAUAUAGGGAAUAGGGCUCUGUUCUAAAGUAGUGCACUAUAUAGGGAAUAGGGCUCUGGUCUAAAGUAGUGCACUAUAUAGGGAAUAGGGCUCUGGUCUAAAGUAGUGCACUAUAUAGGGAAUAGGGCUCUGUUCUAAAGUAGUGCACUAUAUAGGGAAUAGGGCUCUGUUCUAAAGUAGUGCACUAUAUAGGGAAUAGGGCUCUGUUCUAAAGUAGUGCACUAUAUAGGGAAUAGGGCUCUGGUCUAAAGUAGUGCACUAUAUAUAGGGAAUAGGGUUCUAUAGGGCCAUGGUCUAAAGGGUGCCAUUUGGGAAGCAUCCAUGAGCUUCAAGAAAUAAUCAGUAAGCAAUCAAUCAAUCAAUCAAUCAAUCCCCACCCAUCAAUAUUACAUGUGCAUAGAAAUGCAUGGCACAGCUUCUUCAAGCUGCUAUAUCGACUCCUUGUCAAUGUACUUGAAUGCCUUGUUGUGUACAGAUACACAAGCCCUCCAAUGGGAGCAAUACUGGAAUACAGGGAGGGGAGGGGUCUUAUUGAAUCAACCAAUCAUACGGAGACAUGGAGGGGUCUUACCCAAUCAUAUGGUGAUGUGGAGGUCAAACUGUGAGAGACUGACUGGCUGGCUGGCUGGCUCACUGUCUGACAGUACAAUCAUGGACCCUAAUCAAUACUGUUGCUUGGCAUGGUUUGCACAUUGGGGCAGAUACCAGGGGGUACUAUAGGUUCCUGCCCAUUGGGGCAGAUACCAGGGGGUACUAUAGGUUCCUGCCCAUUGGGGAAGAUACCAGGGGGUACUAUAGGUUCCUGCCCAUUGGGGCAGAUACCAGGGGGUACUAUAGGUUCCUGCCCAUUGGAGCAGAUACCAGGGGGUACUAUAGGUUCCUGCCCAUUGGGGCAGAUACCAGGGGGUACUAUAGGUUCCUGCCCAUUGGAGCAGAUACCAGGGGGUACUAUAGGUUCCUGCCCAUUGGAGCAGAUACCAGGGGGUACUAUAGGUUCCUGCCCAUUGGGGCAGAUACCAGGGGGUACUAUAGGUUCCUGCCCAUUGGGGCAGAUACCAGGGGGUACUAUAGGUUCCUGCCCAUUGGAGCAGAUACCAGGGGGUACUAUAGGUUCCUGCCCAUUGGGGCAGAUACCAGGGGGUACUAUAGGUUCCUGCCCAUUGGGGCAGAUACCAGGGGGUACUAUAGGUUCCUGCCCAUUGGAGCAGAUACCAGGGGGUACUAUAGGUUCCUGCCCAUUGGGGCAGAUACCAGGGGGUACUAUAGGUUCCUGCCCAUUGGAGCAGAUACCAGGGGGUACUAUAGGUUCCUGCCCAUUGGAGCAGAUACCAGGGGGUACUAUAGGUUCCUGCCCAUUGGGGCAGAUACCAGGGGGUACUAUAGGUUCCUGCACAUUGUUGUCAAGUGUGCAUAUGUGUUUAGAACACAUGAAACGCAGCUAUAACUACUGUUCCAAGAAGGAGGGAAACGAGGUACAACACACUAUGGGGAGUGGCUCUUCGGGGUGAAGGAUCUAGAAUCACGCCUCACAAGGCCAAUUUACAUCCUCUCCUUGUUGAAAGCCACACCUUCCGCAGGUGAUAAGCGUGAGGCUCAGAUUAAUUCCUUCAAUUAAAUUACCGCUCUUUACCGAGCCCAGGAACAGGUGUUGUACCUCGUUUCCCUCCUUCAGAAAACAGUAGUUAUAGUCAAAACGUUUACGUUCCCUUCCAGUCAGUCAACUUUGGUACAACAUACUAUGGGGAAAUAUAAUCCCUCCCCAAGCCUCCCCAAGCCAACCCUAACGGAUACUAAAUGAACCUGACCCCCACCAGAUGCGGUUGUUCCCCUUGUCCCCUGGUCCCAGCCGUAAGCACACUGUGCGCUGCCUGGUGACUUCCCCUUGUCCCCUGGUCCCAGCUGUAAGCACACGGUGCGCUGCCUGGUGACUUCCCCUUGUCCCCUGGUCCCAGCCGUAAGCACACGGUGCGCUGCCUGGUGACUUCCCCUUGUCCCCUGGUCCCAGCCGUAAGCACACGGUGCGCUGCCUGGUGACUUCCCCUUGUCCCCUGGUCCCAGCCGUAAGCACACGGUGCGCUGCCUGGUGACUUCCCCUUGUCCCCUGGUCCCAGCCGUAAGCACACGGUGCGCUGCCUGGUGACUUCCCCUUGUCCCCUGGUCCCAGCCGUAAGCACACGGUGCGCUGCCUGGUGACUUCCCCUUGUCCCCUGGUCCCAACCGUAAGCACACUGUGUGACGUCCAAGCGAUAAAACCUCACACGUGUGUGGUGAUGCCCAACUAUCUCCUAUAGUCAACGCUUUAAACAACGGCCGACACGUUGCCAGACUCCCGGUGGAGUGGGCACGUACACCGCGCUAGGUAACCCCUUGCUGCUAUGUGCCAGAGAGAGAGAGAUCCCCCACAAUCCAGUGGGAGAGACGCUGCUGAGAGAGCGUCCUGCUGGAUUAGCAAAACAGAAGAAAAACAAUAUGCUGGUCACAUGACCCAGGCCCGUUCAAUAUACGUGAAGUGAAGUUCGCACCGGACACACGGCAUGUAACCUCCGUUGCUCUUCAGAAAGCAAACAGAGGAGGCUGAAAAGGGAAAUGGCUCAUAAGCUAAGGAUCUGUAGGACAUGUCGGAGAAAAGGGCGCAUUUGGACCUUAAGAGUCGCUCGGGGUGGGGGGGACUGGGGACUGAGGUUGAAGGUUGAGGCCGAGUCUAUAGGAGAAAGCCCUGCCUCCAGCUGUUUGCUUAGAAAUUCUAGGGACAAUUAGGAGGCCUGCGUCUUGUGACCGUAGCGUACGUGUAGGUAUGUACGGCAGGACCAAAUCAGAGAGAUAGGUAGGAGCAAGCCCAUGUAAUGCUUUGUAGGUUAGCAGUAAAACCUUGAAAUCAGCCCUUGCCUUAACAGGAAACCAGUGUAGAGAGGCUAGCACUGGAGUAAUAUGAUACAUUUUUUGGGUUCUAGUCAGGAUUCUGGCAGCCGUGUUUAGCACUAACUGAAGUUUAUUUAGUGCUUUAUCCGGGUAGCCAGAAAGUAGAGCUUUGCAGUAGUCAAAAGCAUGGAUAUAUUUGUUGAACCUCUUCCAUAUCUGGUCAACAGCAGUACACUGUCAGAAGUUCUGGGUAAGUCUCUUUGAAAAGAUGUUGAAAGGGGGCCACACCCACCCAGAUUGUUGAAAGGGGGCCACACUCACCCAGAUUGUUGAAAGGGGGCCACACCCACCCAGAUCGUUGGAAGGGGGCCACACCCACCCAGAUCGUUGAAAGGGGGCCACACCCACCCAGAUUGUUGAAAGGGGGCCACACCCACCCAGAUCGUUGGAAGGGGGCCACACCCACCCAGAUUGUUGAAAGGGGGCCACACCCACCCAGAUCGUUGAAAGGGGGCCACACCCACCCAGAUCGUUGGAAGGGGGCCACACCCACCCAGAUCGUUGGAAGGGGGCCACACCCACCCAGAUCGUUGGAAGGGGGCCACACCCACCCAGAUCGUUGGAAGGGGGCCACACCCACCCAGAUCGUUGGAAG